UCCUGGUUUGCUCAGUUGGUAGAGCGCUCCACUGGAAAUGGAGAGGUCCCUGGUCCGAUAGGACCAGGUG
rnacentral:tRNA from 1 species